rnacentral:lncRNA from 1 species
GUUUUUUGUUAGUGUAUGGAAUUACAAUUGAUUUUUUAAUAUUAACCUUGAAUCUUGUGGCCUUACUAAAAUUGCUUAUUAGUUGCAGUAGCUUCUUUGUAGAUUCAUUGAGAUUUUUUAUGUACACAAUAAUAAAUCUGCUAACUAAAUUUAGAGGGCACAGGUUAUUCUCAAAUUUGUUAAGCAAUGUAUGCAUGUUUCAUUUGCAUGAAAUGGUCACUGACGUAUACAAAAAAACUUAAGCAAAAAUAUUUCUAAGCUGAAAAACCAUUAGAGCUGGAAGGAAAUUUUGAACUCAUCUUUCCUGAAAAACCAUUAGAGCUGGAAGGAAAUUUUGAACUCAUCUUUCCUCCUCACACUACCACUAAUUUUAUGGAUGAGCAAACUAAAAGCUGGAAGCUUAAAGGCCUUCCUCAACAUCAUACAGCGAAUUCAUUUUAUAAAGAUUAUGAGUUUACAUGGUAUAUAACAUACCAAAAGGCAAUAUGGGUUCUUUAUCUGUCCGUUUAUACAUACUUCUAGAAAAUAUGAAUUGAUUACCAAUUUCAUGCUAGACAUUGUGCUCAGUGCUGUACUGUGUUCUGUAACAUUUCUGAGACUGAGUGCAUUCUUGCAUCCUCAUUAGUAUCCACUUGCCCUUUUGCUCCUCCAGGGACAGAAAUGAGAAAAGCCAGACUUCGAAGCCUAACUUUCAGGGGCUCACAUCACUUCUGUUCCUGUGUCGUGGCACCAUCCAACAGUGGAGAAACUUCUGGGUCUGUGUUUCCAAGUGGGCAUCAGGAAGAACAGAAUACAUUUUGCAGAACUCUCAUUGAAUGGAAUCAAUCCUAAAUCCAAUAUCUACACUCUGAAAGGUAAUCGGUAUGAAAACAAUGAAAUAUUGAAUGGCCAAUAGGAAAAAAAAUCUGAAACGGCAAACUUUAGCAUGUGAAUGCUAUGGGCAGUCAGGAAAUUUUAUACAAAGUGAAGUUCUCUUGCCCGAUGGAGCUAUCAUUCUCUUAUUCUAACUGUGGAGAUACAGAGCUUCUUUAAUGGUUAAGAUUCAUGUACAUUUAU